UACGAAGGGGGCUAGCGUUAAUCGGAAUUACUGGGCGUAAAGCGUGCGCAGGCGGUUUUGUAAGUCUGUCGUGAAAGCCCCGGGCUCAACCUGGGAAUUGCGAUGGAGACUGCAAGGCUUGAAUCUGGCAGAGGGGGGUAGAAUUCCACGUGUAGCAGUGAAAUGCGUAGAUAUGUGGAGGAACACCGAUGGCGAAGGCAGCCCCCUGGGUUAACACUGACGCUCAUGCACGAAAGCGUGGGGAGCAAACAGG
rnacentral:rRNA from 1 species